UGGGGAAUAUUGCACAAUGGGCGCAAGCCUGAUGCAGCCAUGCCGCGUGUGUGAAGAAGGCCUUCGGGUUUGAUAAGCACUUUCAGCGAGGAGGAAGGUGGUGAGCUUAAUACGCUCAUCAAUUGACGUUACUCGCAGAAGAAGCACCGGCUAACUCCGUGCCAGCAGCCGCGGUAAUACGGAGGGUGCAAGCGUUAAUCGGAAUUACUGGGCGUAAAGCGCACGCAGGCGGUUUGUUAAGUCAGAUGUGAAAUCCCCGGGCUCAACCUGGGAACUGCAUUUGAAACUGGCAAGCUAGAGUCUCGUAGAGGGGGGUAGAAUUCCAGGUGUAGCGGUGAAAUGCGUAGAGAUCUGGAGGAAUACCGGUGGCGAAGGCGGCCCCCUGGACGAAGACUGACGCUCAGGUGCGAAAGCGUGGGCAGCAAACAGGAUUAGAUACCCUGGUAGUCCACGCUGUAAACGAUGUCGAUUUGGAGGUUGUGCCCUUGAGGCGUGGCUUCCGGAGCUAACGCGUUAAAUCGACCGCCUGGGGAGUACGGCCGCAAGAUU
rnacentral:rRNA from 1 species